rnacentral:lncRNA from 1 species
UUUGUGUGCACUGAGCUGGCUGAUAUGUUCCUGGGAGGUGGGACAGGAGGCCCUUCCUGGCCACUGUCCUUAGAGAAUACAGCAGAAAAGGAGCUGGCUGGGGCCCAGCAGGAUUUCCUCUGCAGUGUAGACAUAUCUGGCAAGGGAGUUAAGGAGGUCACCACAGGUGGGACCCUUCUUCUAUGUCCUAUCUUAACCUACGCAGUGCCAGAGUCCACGGGGAUAAUUAAGAUUUUGCACUGACAACCUGGAGGAACGGUAAUUAGGGAUUGUAGCCUGGGCAAUGCUCCAGGUAUUGUUUAACUCAGGAGUAGAGUAAGAAAGGAAAGAGAUGAAUAGAUAUGUGGAAUUCUUUCCUCAUUAUUCUUGGCUCCAAGGAAAGAUCUGAUUUUGACCGUCAGGGCCAAGGUAUGCAUUCUGAUGGAUAAUUACCUUUCUUUCUCUUUGUGAAAUUAAAAUUAAACCUACACAGCCUCAGCGACAGCAUGAUGGGUUACAAGGCAUUUGUGAGCUGUUAACCAGAGCACUGUCACCAAUAAAGCUACAAAUGGAAAAGGCUGGGAGGUGCAAGGGCUGGCUUCCCACUUUGAAGACCUCAGCUUCUCUGGAAGCCCUUCCCACAGAGCGAGUGUGUCAUGAAUGCAAGUACUUACGUUGCUGAUAACAGAGAACUUGCCAAUUCCAGAGAGAAUGUCAAACCAGAUUCCUACAAGACAGAAAAGACAGCGUCUGGCUCACUCCCGCCCUCGGCCCAGUGAUGACAACGCUGAAGCUCCAGGUGAUGUUUUGCAGCAUCCGGCCGUCUCAGCUCUGUAACAAACUUCUUUGCAUCGAGCCGCACUUCAAUGACGUUGUUGAGGAGGGCAAACACAGGUGCCAGGGGAAAGGAGGCCACGAAGAGGGUGACAAAACCAAACUGGAUGACUGCGAGAGAGCACAGCAUGAGGGCUUCAGCAGGAACAAGCAGGACUCAGGUCCCUUCUGGCUUGCAGCUACAGCCCCUUGUCCUUUCUGCCUUGGGUAUCUUUCCCAUAUGGGGUAAUUUUUAGUCUCCCUUUUCCUCCUGUGUCACAUACACGGUAUUUCUUUCUAAGUACCUGCAGGCCUGUUGGUCAAUGCCAUCACUUGGGAGCAAAGCUCUGGAUUAGGCAUGGUGGGGAGAUACAAGAAAAAAAAGUCUUAAUUGCUUCCUUUACCCUUUACUGCCAGUCACUAAUCCUACUGAUCUAACUCAGGGUUUGGUAAACUUUUUUAGUAAAAGGCCAGAUCAUAAUAAACAUUUUUGGAUUUGCAGGCCAUAUGGUUUUGUCACAACGACUCAACUCUGCCAUUAUACAGUAAAAACAGCUAUAGACAGCACAUCAACAAGUGGGCUUGGCUGAGUUCCAAUAAAACUUUAUUUACAAAAGCAAUAUAUAAAGUGACUAGGUUUGGCCCACGGGCCACAGUUUGCCUUCCCUUGAAAUAGCUUUAAAAACCACCUCCCAGAUUUGGACUCUUCUUUCCAUGUCUACAGUCACUGCCUUUGUUUAGAAAGUUUAUUCAUCCAUCACGCAUUUAUGGAGAGCAUUUAUAAAUGUCAGGCCCUGUACCAAGUAUUUAAGAAGGCAAAGGUCUGUUCUGGCCUGCAAGAAGCUGGGUUUGAAAGUGGAGAGUUAAGUGUAGGCAAACAUGUGCAACAAGGUUUUAUGUAUGCCAAGAGAGAAUAAAGAAUGUACUAGUGAUAGAGAAGGCCCAAAUGGAGAGGAACGUACAUUGUUCAGGGCAGGGACUGAAUGGGUCUCCAUGUAGAGUCCCUCAGCACAGUCUGGAAAGAUGGGCAUGCAGUUUUCUUGAGGAUUAAGUCAAAGAGACCUUCUAAGCUAUGGAAGCAGUGUGAGCAAAAGCAUGGUGGCACAGCCCAUGCCCAUGAGACAGCUGGAAAGAGUCCAGCCCUACCUGGACCAUUGCAACAGCCUCCUGACGGGGUUUCUUGUCACCAUUCUCCCAGGAUGCUAGAGUCUAUCCAGCACACAGCCCCUCUCACCUGAUUCUGUUAUCUACCUGCUUAUAAAAAUUCCUGUUGGCUCCACUCUGUUCACUGAAUAUAAUCCAAAGUCCCUACCGGUGCAUACAGGUGCUUUAUAAUCUGCCUCCAAUCUGCCUCCCUAGCUUCAUCUCCUAGCAUCUCCCCAGCAACGACCAUGGUCCUGCCUUCUCACCCUCCUAAUUGUCCCCUGCCACAUUAGUUCUUUCCACUCAUUUGUGCAUAAGCAUACACUCUGGCUGGCAAGCUUCUAUGCAUCCCUGGGAUCACUCAAAUGCCACCUCCUUGGUGAAGCCCCAUCCCUCCUCCUCUGGACCCCACCACCCUGUGUUCAGGCUUCUGUUGCAGCCAUCACUGUGUGCUUCUGUGAUUGACUUGCUCACACAUCUUUAUUUCCCACUGAGAAGGCAAGGCCUCCGUCCCUUCUAGGGGUUCAGUACAUAUUUGCUGAUGGAAACACAACCCAGAGUCCAGGAAAGUUACAAUGUAGUAGGACUCCCCUACAUACUAAGGGCAAAUUAUUAAACUUUCUGUGCUUCAGGUACUUCAACUGUAAAUUGAAGAUAAUAGUAAUACCCACCCAAUAGGGUUCCCAGAAGGGUAAAUGAUAUUACAUACAAAAUAUGUACAAUGUACAUACAAUGUACAAUAUGUACAAUGUUGGAUACAUAAUAACUGUUUAAUAAAUGG